GAGCAGCUGUGCGAAGCCCGCCGACCCGGCCCGACUUCGCCUGCGACUUCCCGGAACAAUAAGCCCCGGGCCCUAGCGCUGUCGGCCUAGCUCGGGGCCGAAAGCUGCUGCGCCGCGACCCCUCCCUCGGGCUUGCUGUGGCGGCUGGGGCGCUGAGGUGUGACACGGCGCGCCUCGGGGUUGUUUGCGGGCGAACAGCCGAGCCCGCCCAGACACUACGAGCCUUCCUGCCCCGCCGCCCUCGAAGACCUGCCCUCCCGGAGCGCCGGAGUCCUCAGCGGCGCCGAGGGCCCCUCCCCUGGGCUUGCGGGCUCUGAGAUGGCGUUCAUUUCCUUCUUGUGCUGAAUCUACUUGUGUCUAAUCCAUGGACUGUUUUCUCAACCCAUCCUCUGAUUUAACCUUGUUCAUGGGAGAGCCCAGAGGACACUCCAUUUAUCAAAGCAGUCAAGAAUGCACAGGAAGCUCUCCUGCUCUUAGACUGAAAACCUGGCUGCUCUGUGUCUAGACUGUAGAAGUUCUGGAGAUGAACAGUGCUGAUGGUUUCACAACAAUGUGAAGGUACUUAAUGCCACUGAACUGUGCGCCUAAAUACAGCACAUGUCAUCAGUGUGUUUUCUUCAUAACCUUGGAACUGCAACUUUCAUUCCUUUAAGAGAUGGAAAAUGCUAGCUAUAUAACCCAGUUGUUAACAACUUUCCUCUUUGCCAUUAAAUCAGAAUUACUUACUGUCAGAAGACAUCUGAGUUUAUUUUUUACAUGAAACAAAUAUGUUAAUACUUACUUCAAGG
rnacentral:lncRNA from 1 species